rnacentral:rRNA from 1 species
UAAUACGUAGGGUGCGAGCGUUAAUCGGAAUUACUGGGCGUAAAGCGUGCGCAGGCGGCUUUUUAAGCCAGAUGUGAAAUCCCCGGGCUUAACCUGGGAACUGCAUUUGGAACUGGAAGGCUAGAGUGCGGCAGAGGGGGGUAGAAUUCCACGUGUAGCAGUGAAAUGCGUAGAGAUGUGGAGGAAUACCGAUGGCGAAGGCAGCCCCCUGGGUCGACACUGACGCUCAUGCACGAAAGCGUGGGGAGCAAACAGGAUUAGAUACCCUGGUAGUCCACGCCCUAAACGAUGUCUACUAGUUGUUGGAGGAGUGAAAUCCUUUAGUAACGAAGCUAACGCGUGAAGUAGACCGCCUGGGGAGUACGGUCGCAAGAUUAAAACUUAAAGGAAUUGACGG